rnacentral:tRNA from 6 species
GAUCGCGUAGCUCAGCUAGGUUAGAGCGCCGUGCUGAUAACGCGGAGGUCCUGGGUUCGAAUCCCAGCGCGAUCA